AGGCGCGGUGGCAGAGUGGUCAUGCAGCGGACUGCAACUCCGUGUACGCCGGUUCGAUUCCGACCCGCGCCUCCAU
rnacentral:tRNA from 1 species